rnacentral:tRNA from 2 species
GCCGAGGUGGUGGAACUGGUAGACACGCAGCGUUGAGGGCGCUGUGCCCAUUGCGGGCGUGGAGGUUCGAGUCCUCUCCUCGGCACCA